GUUUGAUCCUGGCUCAGAUUGAACGCUGGCGGCAUGCCUUACACAUGCAAGUCGAACGGCAGCACGGGAGCAAUCCUGGUGGCGAGUGGCGAACGGGUGAGUAAUACAUCGGAACGUGCCCAGUUGUGGGGGAUAGCCCGGCGAAAGCCGGAUUAAUACCGCAUAAGACCUGAGGGUGAAAGCGGGGGACCGCAAGGCCUCGCGCGAUUGGAGCGGCCGAUGUCAGAUUAGGUAGUUGGUGGGGUAAAGGCCUACCAAGCCGACGAUCUGUAGCUGGUCUGAGAGGACGACCAGCCACACUGGGACUGAGACACGGCCCAGACUCCUACGGGAGGCAGCAGUGGGGAAUUUUGGACAAUGGGCGCAAGCCUGAUCCAGCCAUGCCGCGUGUGGGAAGAAGGCCUUCGGGUUGUAAACCACUUUUGUCAGGGAAGAAACGGCCUGAUCUAAUACAUUGGGUUAAUGACGGUACCUGAAGAAUAAGCACCGGCUAACUACGUGCCAGCAGCCGCGGUAAUACGUAGGGUGCGAGCGUUAAUCGGAAUUACUGGGCGUAAAGCGUGCGCAGGCGGCUUUGCAAGACAGACGUGAAAUCCCCGGGCUCAACCUGGGAACUGCAUUUGUGACUGCAAGGCUAGAGUACGGUAGAGGGGGAUGGAAUUCCGCGUGUAGCAGUGAAAUGCGUAGAUAUGCGGAGGAACACCGAUGGCGAAGGCAAUCCCCUGGACCUGUACUGACGCUCAUGCACGAAAGCGUGGGGAGCAAACAGGAUUAGAUACCCUGUAGUCCACGCCCUAAACGAUGUCAACUGGUUGUUGGACGGCUUGCUGUUCAGUAACGAAGCUAACGCGUGAAGUUGACCGCCUGGGGAGUACGGCCGCAAGGUUGAAACUCAAAGGAAUUGACGGGGACCCGCACAAGCGGUGGAUGAUGUGGUUUAAUUCGAUGCAACGCGAAAAACCUUACCUACCCUUGACAUGUCAGGAAGUGACCAGAGAUGGUUUCGUGCUCGAAAGAGAACCUGAACACAGGUGCUGCAUGGCCGUCGUCAGCUCGUGUCGUGAGAUGUUGGGUUAAGUCCCGCAACGAGCGCAACCCUUAUCAUUAGUUGCUACUGCAAAGGGCACUCUAAUGAGACUGCCGGUGACAAACCGGAGGAAGGUGGGGAUGACGUCAGGUCAUCGUGGCCCUUAUGGGUAGGGCUACACACGUCAUACAAUGGCCGGUACAGAGGGCUGCCAACCCGCGAGGGGGAGCUAAUCUCAGAAAACCGGUCGUAGUUCGGAUCGCAGUCUGCAACUCGACUGCGUGAAGUCGGAAUCGCUAGUAAUCGCGGAUCAGCUUGCCGCGGUGAAUACGUUCCCGGGUCUUGUACACACCGCCCGUCACACCAUGGGAGCGGGUUCUGCCAGAAGUAGUUAGCCUAACCGCAAGGGGGGCGACUACCACGGCAGGGUUCGUGACUGGGGUGAAGUCGAACAAGGUA
rnacentral:rRNA from 1 species